CCGUUCCUUGUCUAUGUUCCUUGGAACAGGACGUCAUAGAGGGUGAGAAUCCCGUGUGGCGAGGAGUGCGGUUCUUUGUAAAGUGCCUUCGAAGAGUCGAGUUGUUUGGGAAUGCAGCUCUAAGUGGGUGGUAAAUUCCAUCUAAAGCUAAAUAUUGGCGAGAGACCGAUAGCGAACAAGUACAGUGAUGGAAAGAUGAAAAGAACUUUGAAAAGAGAGUGAAAAAGUACGUGAAAUUGUUGAAAGGGAAGGGCAUUUGAUCAGACAUGGUGUUUUGUGCCCUCUGCUCCUUGUGGGUAGGGGAAUCUCGCAUUUCACUGGGCCAGCAUCAGUUUUGGUGGCAGGAUAAAUCCAUAGGAAUGUAGCUUGCCUCGGUAAGUAUUAUAGCCUGUGGGAAUACUGCCAGCUGGGACUGAGGACUGCGACGUAAGUCAAGGAUGCUGGCAUAAUGGUUAUAUGCCGCCCGUCUUGAAACACGGACCAAGGAGUCUAACGUCUAUGCGAGUGUUUGGGUGUAAAACCCAUACGCGUAAUGAAAGUGAACGUAGGUUGGGGCCUCGCAAGAGGUGCACAAUCG
rnacentral:rRNA from 1 species